rnacentral:rRNA from 1 species
AUUGAGCGCUGGCGGCAGGCCUAACACAUGCAAGUCGAGCGGAUGAGAAGAGCUUGCUCUUUGAUUCAGCGGCGGACGGGUGAGUAAUGCCUAGGAAUCUGCCUGGUAGUGGGGGACAACGUUUCGAAAGGAACGCUAAUACCGCAUUCGUCCUACGGGAGAAAGCAGGGGACCUUCGGGCCUUGCGCUAUCAGAUGAGCCUAGGUCGGAUUAGCUAGUUGGUGAGGUAAUGGCUCACCAAGGCGACGAUCCGUAACUGGUCUGAGAGGAUGAUCAGUCACACUGGAACUGAGACACGGUCCAGACUCCUACGGGAGGCAGCAGUGGGGAAUAUUGGACAAUGGGCGAAAGCCUGAUCCAGCCAUGCCGCGUGUGUGAAGAAGGUCUUCGGAUUGUAAAGCACUUUAGGUUGGGAGGAAGGGCAGUAAGUUAAUACCUUGCUGUUUUGACGUUACCGACAGAAUAAGCACCGGCUAACUCUGUGCCAGCCGCCGCAGUAAAAC